rnacentral:lncRNA from 1 species
AAUCCAAAUCUCUUCUUUUUUAAUAUAAAAUUCCAAGAAAAUACAGCAUUGAUUUCUAAUAUCGAAAAAAAAGAACUAAAAAUCACAAGAGCAUGAAAUCCAAACCAUAUCUCUUGAAUUCGUAAAUAGAAUUAACAAAAAAAAUGAAAAAAAGCAUAGGUAUCAAAUCGAAACUAUAAUAAUAGAAUGAGUGAAGAGCUAUACCAGGAUGGAAAGGGACCUCCGGCCAACCAGUGAUCUCCACGGCCACGAGCCCACAACUCCAGCCAGCUGAAAUUAAUCACUCCAUCAGCCAAGAAAAGUCCCAAAUAUAAAGAAACCAAACAAAUCGAAUCAAAAGACUCCAAGAAAUGAAACCAAAAUUGCCAUCAAAAGUAUCAGAUAAAACUUACCUGAUAGAAAUCCC